UACGUGAAGAAGCCAAGACAGUUAGCAGAUUUGCAACAUAAACUGGAAUUGAAAGGUUCUGAGGACAUUGAAAAUUCAGAUAUGGGUCAUGUCAAAGAUGUCAGAAACCUUUUUUGGAUCCACGAAGGAAUUCUCGUCCAUUACGUUAGAGGAUGUGAGCGCACCUUUUGUUGAUCCAGACAAUCAUGAGUAUCCAUCAAUGGAAACUUUGAGAUUCACUUCGCUGUUCCCAAAAUUCACACUUGGAAAAGGAUUCAAACUUGCAGCAUUGACCAAAAAAAGGAUAAAAACUUAAAAUUGGUGUUUAGGCCAUGAUCCCUGCAAGCUAUGCUGG